GCGGUCGCGGAGGCGAACGUGCUCCAGGAACAAAAGGUAAAAAGCCGCGUCGUGUGUUUUGUGGGAGACUGGGGCUUAGGAGGACAGGGAAGGGGGUUGGUAGAGGGGGGAAAAGAGAGAGAGAGUGAGAAGGGUGGGGAGGGGGAGAGGAAUACGUCCUGGGGGAAAGAGAUGCGGUAAAGCCGAGAGAUGGGAGUCCUCCGGUCCCUUAAUCCCGCUGAAACACACCUCCCGUCGUUGCGGGAAUCCCCCUCCUUUCCCAAAUCCUGCCUACCCGCCCGGGGCCCCCCCCUUCGUUGCAUAACCUGAAAUGUCGUACCUGGGAGAGCUUUGAUGGUAACAUUGGGGGUGGCAGUAGCUGCAGGGCACCACUCUGUAGACCUGCACUUGGUACCUUGCACGACGUCUGUUUUUAUUCAUGGCCCUUCACUUCCUCUUCCCCCCGGCCACCAGCAGCUUCACUCGUUCGUGGUUCGUCUUU
rnacentral:lncRNA from 1 species